UACGUAGGGCGCAAGCGUUGUCCGGAAUUAUUGGGCGUAAAGAGCUCGUAGGCGGUUUGUCGCGUCUGCUGUGAAAACUCGAGGCUCAACCUCGGGCUUGCAGUGGGUACGGGCAGACUAGAGUGCGGUAGGGGUGACUGGAAUUCCUGGUGUAGCGGUGGAAUGCGCAGAUAUCAGGAGGAACACCGAUGGCGAAGGCAGGUCACUGGGCCGCAACUGACGCUGAGGAGCGAAAGCGUGGGUAGCAAACAGG
rnacentral:rRNA from 1 species